UUAGAAGAAGUCAACAAAAUUCUGUGUAUAAUUGGGAUGAUUUUGAUGAAUAUUGUGCAAAAGUUGAAACUUCAGAGACUAAGAAAUCUGAAUUGGUAGAUUAUCUUGAAAAGGGCCGUCUAAAGAAGAAUGAGAUUCCUAAAAUUUUUUCAUGUUUAGAAUGGUGGAGGAUGAAUAGAAUGCAGUAUCCAAUAUUGUCAAAGAUAGCAGCUGAUAUUUUAGCUAUUCCAGUGAGUUCAGUGGCUUCAAAAGCAACAUUUAGUGCAGGGACAAGAGUUAUUGAUUCUUAUCGUUCAUCUCUCUCUCCAGACACAGUGCAGACUCUACUGUGUGGGGGUGAUUGGCUUCGACAUAUACAUGGACUGAAAAAGAAGACUAAAAAAGCUAAAACUUAUCAAGAAAUUUUUCUUCCAGUAUCUACCUCUUAAAAAAUUUGAUAUGGAAUUUUGGAAACACAUGUUAAACAAAGAAGAAGAUAUGGAAAUUGCUGCAGAAUUUUGAUAUGGAAACACAUAUGUUAAACACAUGUUAAAGUUGCAGUAUAGGUGGUAUGAUUGAGAAUUUGAUAUGGAGAAGAAGAUAUUGAUUGCUGCAGAAAUUUAAUGUUUUGAGUAGUUUGGGUGGUUUGAAUUUGGAAUAUUAUGUUUUUGGAUUUGGUUAAUUUUGUUGGG